AGCUGAAGAGGGGAGAGAGACACCCUCCCCACCCCCAUAUGAGGAUGGUCUGUGAUGAUAUGCAUGCAGGGGAAGGGACUUAUCCAAGGUCCCUGAUAGAUAGGGACUGGAAUUUUGGCAGUGUCUUUUCUAGAGUAGAACAAAUUUAUCAGUUGAAUUUGCUGUAGUUCUCUGAAGGUUUCUUUGGCCACAUUAGAAUUUUUGAGCCCUGGCAUCCGUGUAGGCCAACUUCAAAAUGGCUGUGUGCUCCACUCAGAGAUUCUGCUGUGAAGACCGGCAGGAGAUUUUUUAGCCUAUUCUGAACUCCAACUGUUCCAGUUCCUCUUGCUUUCCAGAGGUGUGAGCACCUGGAAGCCCCUGCUCUGGUCUACACCCCAGGCUCAAGAUUCAUCCUGCUCACUCAGCCACUCAUGCUGUCACCAGCGAUAAAACUGUUGUCUUAGUCUUUGCUCUCAGCAUCGGUGCACUUGUAAUAUACUUCAUAGAUUCGUCAAACCCAAUAGAAUCCUGCCAGAAUUUCUACAAAGAUUUCACAUUACAGAUCGACAUGGCUUUCAACGUGUUCUUCCUUCUCUACUUUGGCUUGCGGUUUAUUGCAGCCAACGAUAAAUUGUGGUUCUGGCUGGAAGUGAACUCUGUAGUGGA
rnacentral:sRNA from 1 species